rnacentral:rRNA from 1 species
UACAGAGGGGGCAAGCGUUUGUUCGGAAUUACUGGGCGUAAAGGGCGCGUAGGCGGCCUUCUAAGUCGAACGUGAAAUCCCCGGGCUCAACCCGGGAACUGCGUCCGAUACUGGGAGGCUUGAAUCCGGGAGAGGGAUGUGGAAUUCCAGGUGUAGCGGUGAAAUGGCGUAGAUAUCUGGAGGAACACCGGUGGCGAAGGCGGCAUCCUGGACCGGUAUUGACGCUGAGACGCGAAAGCGUGGGGAGCAAACAGG